AUUGAACGCUGGCGGAAUGCUUUACACAUGCAAGUCGAGCGGCAGCGCGGGGGCAACCCUGGCGGCGAGCGGCGAACGGGUGAGUAACAUAUCGGAACGUACCCAGUCGUGGGGGAUAACUAUCCGAAAGGAUAGCUAAUACCGCAUACGUCCUGAGGGAGAAAGCGGGGGAGUCGCAAGACCUCGCGCGAUUGGAGCGGCCGAUAUCGGAUUAGCUAGUUGGUGGGGUAAAGGCUCACCAAGGCGACGAUCCGUAGCGGGUCUGAGAGGACGACCUGCCACACUGGAACUGAGACACGGUCCAGACUCCUACGGGAGGCAGCAGUGGGGGAA
rnacentral:rRNA from 1 species